rnacentral:misc_RNA from 1 species
UCCCUUGCUUAGCAGACGA